CGCGGAAGUGAAAGUAAAAUUAUUUUCUGGACGACAAUUCCAGACUUCUCCGUGUCCAAGCUAUGGACUCUUUGAAUUUCAAUGCACUUUUACUGGAUAUAUCCAGUCAUAUUACCACCGAACAGCUCGACAGUCUCAAGUAUCUGUGCUUAAACAAAGUUGGAAAAAGGGAGUCGCAAACGAUCGACAGCGGAUACAAAUUGUUCCAGUGUUUGACCGAGAGAGGUGAGCUAAGGCAAGAUAAGACAGAACUGCUGUCGGAACUUCUCAAACACAUAAAACGACAGGAUCUAUCGGACAAAUUGAACAACUUUCAGUCACCACCGGAUUGUGCUGGCAUCCAACUCAGCCAAACGGAGAAAGACAAGCUGGAGAUUGCCAUAAACCUGAUGGCUGAGAAUUUGGGGCCAACCUGGCGAAAAUUAGGACGCAAACUAGGUUUCAAUGAAACUAAAUUAAAGUCCAUUUCAAUGAGGUCUCCAACAGAUCUGGAAGAGACAGCAAGAGAGCUAUUGAAGGAAUGGAUGGAGAGUCGUCAAGCCAAUGCUCAUACAGGAGAGUUGAUUGAGGCCCUCAGAGCAUGUCAGCAAAAUCUCACAGCUGAUCAGGUGGAAGCUGCAUGCAUGUCAUCAGAGAAACAAGAUGGUAACAUUACAAUUCAAGGCAUAUAUUAAAAAUCAACCAUCAGUGAUGUCUUUAUUUAUAAAACAAUAAAAGGACACAAAAGC